UACGUAGGGGGCAAGCGUUGUCCGGAAUCAUUGGCGUAAAGCGCGUGUAGGCGGCUAGGUAAGUCUGCUCUGAAAGCCCGGGGCUCAACCCCGGGAGGCGGGUGGAUACUGUCUAGCUCGAGUCCGGAAGAGGAGUGUGGAAUUCCUGGUGUAGCGGUGAAAUGCGCAGAUAUCAGGAGGAACACCGAUGGCGAAGGCAGGUCUCUGGGCAUUAACUGACGCUGAGGAGCGAAAGCAUGGGGAGCGAACAGG
rnacentral:rRNA from 1 species